rnacentral:tRNA from 1 species
AGUGAGGUGGAGCAGUGGCUAGCUCGUCGGGCUCAUUACCCGAAGGUCGUGGGUUCAAUUCCCACCCUCGCAACCA